AAUAUUGGACAAUGGGGGCAAUCAUGAUCCAGCCAUGCCGCGUGUGUGAAAAAGGUCUUCGUACUGUAAAGCACUUUAAGUUGGGAGGAAGGGCUUUAGGUUAAUAACCUGCUGUUUUGAGUUUACCAACAGAAUAAGCACCGGAUAACUCUGUUUCAGCAGCCGCGGUAAUACAGAGGGUGCAAGCGUUAAUCGGAAUUACUGGGCGUAAAGCGGGCGUAGGUGUUUCAGUAAGAUGGAUGUGAAAUCCCCGGGCUUAACCUGGGAACUGCUUUCAUAACUGCUGAGCUAGAGUACGGUAGAGGGUAGUGGAAUUUCCUGUGUAGCGGUGAAAUGCGUAGAUAUAGGAAGGAACACCAGUGGCGAAGGCGACUACCUGGACUGAUACUGACACUGAGGUGCGAAAGCGUGGGGAGCAAAC
rnacentral:rRNA from 1 species